AAAAAAAAAAAAAAAAAGAAAGAAAGAAAGAAAGAAAGAAAAAGUGUACUGCAUAGUUCUAAACUACGUAAUGGGUAGUCUGUAAUAGUUCUCACCCCCGGGCCUGCUCCGGGUGGGUCUGAACGGACACACUCGUCAUCCCAACACAUCUGAGUCAUGGCUACCUUGGCUCACUUGCAUCAUCUCUGUGAAGCCUGAACACUUCUGGUAGAUCGUGCUGAGGCAGCCUCUCACCGUGGCCUGGAAGCCAGUGUUCCGCUAGCAGCCUUCAGAUGGAGAUGUAGAGCUCUCAGCUCCUCCUGCACCAUGCCUGCCUGGAUGCUGCCAUGUUCCCGCCUUGAUGAUACUGAACUGAACCUCCAAACCUGAACCUACUAUAGAUCUAAUCCCAGACCUUGUGGAAUCUCCCGAGCUGUAAGCUUAUCUAAGGUGUCCGCACAACACGAGAUUUGAUGGAGAGAGUGACUCUAUCUGCAACCUUCGUGGGCCAGAGACUCCGCACUGCAGUGUCCCUGUGUACUCCUUAGAGCCUAGGGACAUAACGGAGAGCCGCGGUCUUGAAAUAGCGCCUGUCCUGUUUCCGAAGCUGCAGAGAAAGGACUUCCAGACGUAGCUGCCAGUUUUGGAAAUCAAGCCCCACGCCUCUCAGCAUGGCAUCAGAUACCUCACUGACUCGGAAAGAGUAAAGUACAGCCAACAACCAUCAAAGCUGGAGACGACACCGGGGCUAAGGAGCUGUACACCCGGCCGCGCUCAAUCCUUUCUCUCUUUUCUUGCUGGCCUGUACCUGAGGUCUGGCAGACAGGCCUUUGUCACCCGGUCCACCUGUAAUCCUAGCAAAUGGGAGGUGGACAUAGAAAGAUCAUGAGAUGAAGGCCAGCAUCAACUACGUAGUGAGUUCGAGGCUAGCCUGGGCAACUGUCUAUCUCAAAAAAGAAAAAUUUUAAAGUAAAACUAUGCUGAAGAGAUGGCUCAUGGCCACCAGUAACUAUGGUUCCUGGGAUACCUGUGAUCUCUGUAGUCACCUGAGCUCAUUCACACAUACACUUAAAAAUAAUAAAAAGAAGGGUUGGGGAUUUAGCUCAGAGGUAGAGCGCUUGCCUAGGAAGCGCAAGGCCCUGGGUUCGGUCCCCAGCUCCGAAAAAAAAAAAAAAAAAAAGAACCAAAAAAAAAUAAAUAAAAAGAAAUAUUUAAAAUGUAAAGGCAACUCAUUUUCGAGCCCCCUCUCAGCUAUAGGGAAAAAAAUUUUAAUGAUUUUUAUCAAGUCUUUAUUAUAUACACUGUAGUUGUCUUCAGACACACCAGGAGAGGGCAUCGGAUCUCAUUAGAGAUGGUUGUGAGCCACCAUGUGGGUGCUGGGAUUUGAACUCAGGACCCCUGGAAGAGCAGCCAGUGCUCUUAACCACUGAGCCACCUCUCCAGCCCAGGAAGCUGUUUCUUUAGUUCUGAACAAACUGCUUGUUUGCCCUUCAACAACAUUAUUGUUUUGUUUUCAAUUUUUAAGACGAGGUUUCUCUGUGUAGCCCUGGCUGUCCUGGAACUCGCUCUGUAGACCAGCAUGGCCUCCAACUCAGAGACCCACCUGCCUCUGCCUCCCGAGUGCUGGAAUUAAACUCGUGUGCCACCAUUAGCCAGCUAAAAACAUCCUUAUAAAAAAUAAAGACAUAGUGGGACCACUGUAAAAAAAAAAAAAGAACAAAAAAAAAAAUCAACAAGGCAAAUGGCCAAAGUUAAGUAAUAUUUGUUACCAACUCUCUCUUUACAACCAGUUAUGCGGUGAACACUUAAGAGAAUAGGCUGCUCUCAUCUUAUGAAGUCCUAAAUUCACAAAGCAAAUAAAUGAGGGCCACGGUCUGGUUUUUUUUGUUUUUUUGUUUUUGUUUUUGUUUUUUUUUUUUUAAGGGGAACCUAUCAGAACUAAAGGAAGUGAACUUCCUUUAAACGGGGCUGUUUAGAAAGCUACAUUGGGAAAUUAAAGCCCAGGCUGUGGGCAGUCAGUUCGUUAGGAUUUGCAAGUUGCUAAGUCAUUGUUUGCUCACUGGAUGAGCCAUUCGUACCUUUCCCAGGCCUGCCCUGUGGACUUCUCCAGCAGCAGUGCACAGCGCAGUUCACAGAAGUUAGAAAUAAAGAAGGCUUUGCCAGUCACUCAGUCAACCCCUGUCACACAAGGCCUCCUGGCAGGAUGUACAGAACCCCACAAGAACUGGGCUCCCCAGAACCAGUACACUCAGCUGGAGCUGGGGGUUCUACAGGGCAAAGGAGCAGAAGUCAGAGACGGGACACCCCUUCACCUCCUCCAAGGUCUGUAUGGAGGGAGAAUUAAAGUUCCCAGAGGCUCUAAUUCAGCCUGCGCCUGCCUUUGGAUGAGUCUCACUCUGGUUCGUACUCUGAGAGUCUCUGAAAAGUUACUUCAAAGAUCAUACCCAAUAAGUUCCUUCUGCCCUUAGGAAUAACUGCAGUGCCCUGGGCAAUAAGGGGUUUAUCUUUAAUUCUAGGGAGAAAGGGAGCUGAUUUUGCCCCUUCUCAGAGCUACUUCUUAUCUAAUACAAUACUCCUCCAACUACAUGUUUUUAUUUGGUUUUUGCCUAGUUCAGAACACCCAGGAGGAACUUGCAUGGAUUCAAACCACUGGGUCUGCAAACGGGAAUAACAAUCGAAAUGUAAAUAAGAGGGGUUGGGGAUUUAGUUCAGUGGUAGAGCGCUUGCCUAGCAAGCACAAGGCCCUGAGUUCAGUCCCCAGCUCUGAAAAAAAGAAAGAAAGAAAGAAAAAAAAAAAAAGAAAUGUAAAUAAGAAAUACUCAAGUUAAUAAAGAAAAAAGAAAAAAUACAUAAAUAAAUAAUUUAAAAAAAAAAAAAAGAGUGCUGCUGCCCUUCUACCUUCUGUUGGAGGACAAUGCAUAAAACCCUCGAUGGCGGCACAGAUCACCCGAUGCAAUGUCCUACUGAAGCCACGGUCCCCAUGGCCAGCCCACAGGGCUGUUCUCAAGUGUGUCAGCUCACACUUUGCUCCUCAGAGCUAAAGGAUUAAACAAAAUGAUGUUCCCUGAUUUUCUAUUAGGAUCUAUGUGAAACAAAACUAUGGAGGCCCAAGCAGUGUUUUAGGAAGCCAGGGGUCUUCAAAGGACGACCUGUUUGCCAUUUUUCAUCAAAAUACAUCCUGUUCUUAAGGCUCGAGGGAUAGCUAAGGAGCAGAGCAGAUACGUAGCAUGUACAAAGGUUCAAUUUCCUGUAAUAGGAAGCAGAAUAAGGGCUGGAGAGAUGGCUCAGUGGUUAAGAGCACCAAUUGCUCUUCCAGAGGUCCUGAGUUCAAUUCCCAGCAACCACAGGGUGGCUCACAACCAUCUGUAAUGAAAUCUGAUGCCCUCUUCUGGUGUGUCUGAAGAGAGUAACAGUGUACUUAUAUAUAAUAUAUAAAUAAAUCUUUAAAAAAAAAAAGUCAGAAUAAAACACCAGUUUGGGGCUGCCCAUAUGGUUCAAUGAAUAAAGGCACUUGCCACCAAGACUGACAACUUGAACUCAAUCCUCAGGACGCACAGAGUGGAACAGACUCCUAUAAGGUGUCCUCUGACUGCCUCCACACACAUACCCUGACCUGCCAGGCCCCUACUCCAAAAUGAAUAAAUGUAAUAAAAUCAAAGUCUCCAUGAAACUGCUAGUGACAGUGUUAGUAACUUCUCAGCGGUCUUUACAGAAAUAAAACCGAAUCAGGCUUCAGUUGGUAGGUAGCAUGUUUGCCUAGGAUGUGCAAAACCCUGGGCUCAUAUCCACUAUCACAUAAGUAGGAAGUGGUGAUGCCUGUCUAUACUCUGAAACCUGGGGGGUAGACACAGGAAGAUCAGAAGUUCAGGUCACCCUCAGCUACAUAGUGCUUUUAAGGCUGGCCUAGAUACUGUCAAUCCCAGCACUUGGGAGGCAGGCAGGACCAGGCACAUCUGAAUUUAGGGCCAGCCUAGUCUACACAGUGAGUUCUAGAUAAGCCAGAACUGCAGAUAACUGCCCGUGUUUUAUCAUGACUCCUGCUUUUGAAAAAGUGUAGUCAUACAGGAUUGACAAAUCUCCAAAAUCAAUUCCAGCUUUAUUAGCAACAUAUUUUUUUGUAUCUACUUUCUUUUUUUUUUUUUUUCUUUUCAUUUUUUCGGAGCUGGGGACCGAA